AUAAUGAAACUUUUACCUAGUCACAGCUUGAGCGUUGAAAUCAGAGUAAUCGACUGAUGAGCCGUCGCACGCAAUGAAGGUAACUCGGCAAGAAUUGCAGAGUGGUGAAAUUCCAAUGA
rnacentral:ncRNA from 1 species